GUCUUUAUGUAAAGUUUAUAAAGUCUAGCCUGCCCAUUGAAAUAAUUUAAAAGGCCGCGGUAUUUUGACCGUGCGAAGGUAGCAUAGUCAUUAGUCUUUUAAUUGAAGGCUUGAAUGAAUGGUUGAACAAGAAAUAAACUGUCUUAAUUUAAUAAAUUGAAGUUAAUUUUUAAAUUAAAAAGUUUAAAUGAGUUAAAGUGACGAUAAGACCCUAUAAAACUUGAUAAUUUGUAUUUAAAAAGUUGAAUUAGUUAAUUAAAAUAUUUUUAGAUAUUUUUAUUUUAUUGGGGCGAUAAAGAUAAAAUUAAUAACUGUUUAGAUAUUUAUAAUAACUGUGGUUAAUAAAAGUUAAUGAUCCUUUAUAUAGAUUAAAAGAUUAAGUUACUUUAGGGAUAACAGCGUAAUUUUCUUCAAGAGUUCUUAUUUACAAGAAGGAUUGCGACCUCGAUGUUGAAUUAAAAGUUCUUUAGGGUGUAGAAGCUUUAAGAGAAGGUCUGUUCGACCUUUAAAUUUUU
rnacentral:rRNA from 1 species